rnacentral:lncRNA from 1 species
GUUGUUGCCUUCUGCUACAUGUAAUACCCAGUUGCAUUCUUUGAUACAAGAGCAUGCUAAGGCAUGAUUGGCUGCAAAUACAGGGAUAUCUAAAGUUACGAAGGAUACCAGGGCAUCAGAGUCUAGUAUCAUAAGGGUUGGAUGUCUGAGUUAGUUAUAGGUGUCAAUAUUCAAAGUUAGGGAGCACAUUAUAGAGAUGACGUGCUCCAUGCU